UGAACUCGUGUCCAUAUAGUCAUCUUCGACGGGAGUCAUAGAAGACUUCGACCUUGAAGUGCUAUCAUCAUCGUCGUUAAUGAAGUCAUUAUUGGAUCGUGCUCGUGCCCGUGCCCUUAUCGACGAUCCAACAAUAGAAACAUCCUCAGGUUCAUAGUCGUCUCUUUGUAAUUGUCCUAUGUCAAUCGUAUCAUCUGGCACUAAUAUGUUAUCUGGUGCUUGCAUUUGAUAUGCUUCAUUUUCAAUAAUUACACGGACUUCAUUCUCUAGAUCUUCAUCGUUCGGGCAUGUGAAAAGUGC
rnacentral:lncRNA from 1 species